GGAAGAGUAGUAAACGCUGGCAUAGUGAAGGUCAUCCUGGUUGUCUGUGUCUGCUGUCUGUUGUGAUAGAAAUCUAAAGUCAGAACCCUGUAAGGCAGGACUGGAGUCUCCCUGAUUGGACAAGAGGACAACAUGAGAAAAUGUUCCACAAAGGAACACAUACUGUAUAUAUUUUCUCUGACAGACUCACCUGUAUAUUGUCUGCUGUGUAUCUGGUAUGAGCAGUGGAUUUGGAUUUCUUCCUCCUGUUGUGUGAAUGAAUGUAUUAAGUUAGUGAAGUAUCUGAGUAACUGGGUAAAAUAAUGGAAAUCAUAUUAAUGAUACCUCACCUGAACCAGAUGAAUCCAGAGAGACAGAGGAUGACAACCAGAACAACCACUGUGAUUCCUACAGUUUUAUUCACAACAGAAGUCUGUUUCCCUAAAAUACAGUGAAGAUUUGGUUUUACAUAGAACAUUAGAAAUAAACAUAUGAAAUGUAUCCAAUACUUAAGUGAUCUCAUAAGCCAACACAGGCUGUAAUUAAACAGUAUACCCAAAGUGAAAAUAAGUAUUUAUAAUAAAAAUAUGCUUGAAACAUAAUUUUGAAUUGAGGGAUUAAACUUUGCCUGAUACAA